GCUCCGUUUCGCUUCAGGUCACCUGCCAGCAGUCAGCCGGGGGGGUCGGGGGGUGGGGGGGGGAGGUCUGCACAUUAACAGAACGCUCCUCAUGUAACCCAGUUCAGUGACAGUGCUGCACCUUCUCCCAGACUCAUCCAUUUGCUGUUAUCUCAUACGGAGGGUUUUGGAACACGAUGUUAAAAGUGCGUAUGCCGUUAUCUCCACAGUAAAUGCGCAUGGACGUGUGCAUGCGUUCGCUGCUGCACAUGCAUGCACGCAUGCAUGCACACGCGCAUGGUCCAGACGAGUUUCCACAACAUUAUAAAAUUGCGCAUGUGCUGCAUUGAUGCUGGCAGGCUGCGCGCUCAGAUCUUUGUAAAAUAAGAAUAGUGAUAAGGAUAUAAUCACUAUUGCACACGCACGCGCAUGCACACUUACACGUACAUACUCACACACAUGCGCGUGCACACACACAGACCCACACACACACAAAGACGCACACACACACGCACACACAUGCGCGCGCACACACACUCACGCGCACACACACACACACAUGCGUGCACUCACGCACACGGUUUCACAAGUUUUGGUGAAAUGUUUAUAGGUCAAGCUUGGAGAGAGCCAAGCAUCUGCCAGAAGCAAUAAAUAAAAUUGUAUUUCUACUGUUUAUAUUUAUAAUGAUAAUGUGUAUGGAGGCAUGUCCUCAGGGUGCUGUGUAUAGGUGAACUACCGAUGUUAAAAAAAAAAAAGAAGAGAAAAAGCAACUCAUGAGGUUUGGAAGGUGACUACCACAGCAGCAACUUGCCGUUUGCUUCUGGCUUGGUUACCAGAGGCUUGCUCUUGCGCGCAGCAGUGGGUGGAUAUCAAUAGACCAUGGUCUUAUACUGCAGCGAGCUUGAAGUGCUAUGUCUGUGAAUCUCCUGGUCUCGGAAAUGCCUUCAGUUUGGGUUUGAGUGUGCUGCAGAUCUCAGUCGAGCUGGCUGACCAGAUCAUGGCCAGAAACUGGAAGCUUGUGAUAACAAUUUAACGAUUUGAUUCAAUAGGUCAGACUUCUAUACUUUCCUUUUUUUUUUUCUUUUUUUUUUUGAGUGUUAUAAAUUGUUAAAGAGGAGCGGUUGCAUUUUUGUGCGGUGAUUUGCAUUGUUGCCAAGAUGCCGUAUGUAAAUGAGGUGUCGUCGGUGGGGUUUGUGUGUUGUUUAGCAUUCUGAUGAGGUGGCGGGCGCUCCGGGAGAGGAGAGGGGUGCUGGGGCGCCACGCGGUGCCUCAUUAGCAGGGGGAGUUCAGGUGGGGUGAAGGGUUGUCGUUUGUCGUGAUUUAGCCCAGGUGAAGUAGGCUAAAGGAGGGGGGGGCGCUCGCUUCCUGUAUCGCCCGCCUCACUGGUGACCCGGCCAGGCGGUGGUGUAAUGAUCAGGGGAAUGUUCAGUGUCCGUGUCGCCCCUGUCCCCUGCCUGCGUGUGCGUGCGUGCCAUCCCAAAUGCCUUCAGUCCCCAGCUUUAACAAACUCCUCUCACCCGCACGUUUCUCAGUGCAUUUCAAGGACAAAUACUGUGCUGCCAAGAGGCCGUCGCGCUCGGGGAAGUUGGCCGUGCACAAAAAUACCAGUCGUGUUCAGAAACAGAUCUGAUCGUGUUCAGAUGGCUGACUGGAGAACUGACGGUUCUGGCCCACCCACCUCUCUUUAAAAAAAAAAAGAACAAAAAAAAAAAAACAGCCAUUUUUUUCAAGGAGUUGUAAUUUCAACCUCAGGUGGUCAGAGGCGAUGCGGAAGGUCUAAUCUCUCCUGCUCGGGACCGUGCCGCUGCCCGUUCGCCCAAACCAGCGUGCCCGCGGUGGCACCCUGCGUCUGACCCCAGAGACUUUGCCCAAACCAGCGUGCCCGCGGUGCGCCCAAACCAGCGUGCCCACGGUGGCACCCUGCGUCUAACCCCAGAGACUUCGCCCAAACCAGCGUGCCCAGACUUCGCCCAAACCAGUGUGCCCGUGGUGCGCCCAAACCAGCGUGCCCACGGUGGCACCCUGCAUCUAACCCCAGAGACUGCUCCCCAACCAGCGUGCCCACGGUGCGCCCAAACCAGCGUGCACAUGGUGGCACCCUGCGUCUGACCCCAGAGACCAGCGCCUGAAGCUCAGUGGAGGCUACCUGCCGCGCACGCUCCACCGCCAACCAGCCAAACAGGCGGGAGUGUUUUUUUUAAAAAAACGCCUCUUUUUGGCCAGAUGUUUUUUUUCUUUUCUUAAAACGACGACGGCGAACUUGACUUUAACAAGCGAACAUUUCGUGCAGAUUAUUGCAAUAACGAUAUAACGACGCGUUACAAACGAGACUAACUGAACUAAGUCUGAAAAAAGCCCCCCCCCCCCCCCCCCCCGGGGAUCGAUCCUGUUGGAGGGUGCCUGCGGGCGAGUGUCUCAUCUACAUUUCACUCAUCGCUGCUGCUCAUCGUUGGAGCAGCAUAUCAACUCGUCUCUGGUGUCCUUUUGAACCCUGCCUCUCGACGCAGCAUGCUAAUGGCUCGAACCCGUUCGGUUCUCCCGCAGAUUUGACCCUCGAGGCUGCGGGUCAUGUGACCUACUCAGCGUGUGUGUGUAGCACCUCUUGUUGGCUUUGGAGAGGAGUCCAUUGCCCCCCCUGGCUUUGGGGGAUUUCACACUCCCCCCCCAUCGCUCUCAUCUCAUGAUCCCUCAGUCUGCUCGUGUCAAGAAGGGAUUUUUAACGCCCCUGUAGUGGAGGGUGUGCGUCCCUGUACUUACCAGCCAACCCAACCCCGCAGCUGUGCAUUGAGUGGAGUUGCU